rnacentral:rRNA from 1 species
CAGUCGCCGCGGUAAUACGAAGGGUGCAAGCGUUACUCGGAAUUACUGGGCGUAAAGCGUGCGUAGGUGGUGGUUUAAGUCCGUUGUGAAAGCCCUGGGCUCAACCUGGGAAUUGCAGUGGAUACUGGGUCACUAGAGUGUGGUAGAGGAUAGUGGAAUUUCCGGUGUAGCAGUGAAAUGCGUAGAGAUCUGGAGGAAUACCGAUGGCGAAGGCAGCCAUCUGGCCUAAUACUGACGCUGAGGUACGAAAGCAUGGGGAGCAAACAGGAUUAGAUACCCCUGUAGUCCCUGUCUCUUAUAC